AACUGCUGCUAACACCCCAUAAUGCUGAGGAGCUAAAAGUGAAAACUGCCAAGAGAGAGGCUUGCGUCUGAUUAGCUAGUUGGGGAGGUAAAGGCUUCCCAAGGCGACGAUCAGUAGCUGGUCUGAGAGGAUGAUCAGCCACACUGGGACUGAGACACGGCCCAGACUCCUACGGGAGGCAGCAGUGGGGAAUUUUCCACAAUGGGCGAAAGCCUGAUGGAGCAAUACCGCGUGGGUGAAGUCGGUUCGUGGAUUGUAAAGCCCUUUUCUUAAGAAAGAAUAAAUGACGGUACUUAAGGAAUAAGCACCGGCUAACUCUGUGCCAGCAGCCGCGGUAAUACAGGGGGUGCAAGCGUUGUCCGGAAUGAUUGGGCGUAAAGCAUCUGUAGGUGGUUCUUAAAGUCAA
rnacentral:rRNA from 1 species